AAGUCGUAACAAGGUCUCCGUUGGUGAACCAGCGGAGGGAUCAUUACAGAGUUGCAAAACUCCCAAACCAUUGUGAACGUUACCAUUAUCGUUGCUUCGGCGGGCGGCGCCCAGCGCUCCCAGGCCCCCUCGCGGGGCGCCCGCCGGAGGUUACCUAACUCUUGACAACUGUAUGGCCUCUCUGAGUCUCUAUACUUAAUAAGUUAAAACUUUCAACAACGGAUCUCUUGGUUCUGGCAUCGAUGAAGAACGCAGCGAAAUGCGAUAAGUAAUGUGAAUUGCAGAAUUCAGUGAAUCAUCGAAUCUUUGAACGCACAUUGCGCCCGCCAGUAUUCUGGCGGGCAUGCCUGUUCGAAGCGUCAUUUCAACCAUCAAGCCCCAGGCUUGUGUUGGGGACCUGCGGCUGCCGCAGGCCCUGAAAACCAGUGGCGGGCUCGCUAGUCACACCGAGCGUAGUAGCAUACACAUCGCUCAGGGCGUGCUGCGGGUUCCGGCCGUUAAACCCCUUUUUUACCCAAGGUUGACCUCGGAUCAGGUAGGAAGACCCGCUGAACUUAA
rnacentral:rRNA from 1 species